rfam:Bursaphelenchus xylophilus, Ka4C1 (inbred line), WGS project CADV01000000 data, contig: scaffold01149.21
GCCUUGGUAGCGCAGUGGCAGCGCGUCAGUCUCAUAAUCUGAAGGCCGCGAGUUCGAUCCUCGCCCGGGGCA